AGCAUCCGCGGUAAUUCCAGCUCCAAUAGCGCAUAUUAAAGUUGUUGCAGUUAAAAAGCUUGUAGUUGAAUUUCGGGGUUAGUAGGUUGGUCAUGCCUCUGGUAUGUACUGGUCUCACUGAUUCCUCCUUCCUGAUGAGCCGUAAUGCCAUUAAUUUGGUGUUGCGGGGAAUUUGGACUGUUACUUUGAAAAAAUUAGAGUGUUUAAAGCAAGCUAACGCUUGAAUACAUUAGCAUGGAAUAAUGAAAUAGGACGUUCGAUCCUAUUUUGUUGGUUUCUAGGAUUGACGUAAUGAUUAAUAGGGAUAGUUGGGGGCAUUAGUAUUCAAUUGUCAGAGGUGAAAUUCUUGGAUUUAUUGAAGACUAACUACUGCGAAAGCAUUUGCCAAGGAUGUUUUCAUUAAUCAAGAACGAAAGUUAGGGGAUCGAAGACGAUCAGAUACCGUCGUAGUCUUAACCAUAAACUAUGCCGACUAGGGAUCGGAUGAUGUUAAUUUUUUAAUGACUCAUUCGGCGCCUUACG
rnacentral:rRNA from 1 species